CUCCCAUGGAAAACCAGCGCCUCUUCCAAAGCUGGAGGCGCCUUUGGUAGCCAGAGGGAACUGAGAUGCAAAGGCCUUCUUCUCAUCUGAGCAGGACCCUCUUGUACAGUCACCGAGGACUUGGGGGGCCACAUUGCGUCGUGAGAAGCCCCAGCCCAGGAGCUUGGUAGAAAUGCAUUCUCUGCCUCCACCCCAGACCUCCUGAAUCAGCGAUGCCGGAGUAGGGCCCAGCGGGCUGUGUUUGACCCAGCCUUCCAGGUGGCUCUGAUGCCUGCUGAAGUUUGAGAAUCACUUCCCCCGCUGAACAAGCUGACCUUCCAGAGCACGGAGAAUUCCCCCUUCCCUCCCUCCACCCAACUCCACUCCAAGGGGGAAACCUCCCCUCUGGUCCUGGGCCCCUGAGGCAGGUGUGAAACGGUCUGGCCUCAGGACUGGGCCAUCCCUGAUACUGGAAGAUAGGUCACUGUGGCCUGGGGCGUACUUGUGGGCUUAAAAUGAUAACAUAAAACCAGUACGUGGGAGGGACUGAGGUGAAAGGAAGAAUAAGCCUCCUCUUAAUCUCCUUAAUGUUCAGCCAUUAUAAUCCUAUAAUUACAACCAAUAAGCCAAUAACAGCUACCAUUUACCUGGAGGUGGUCACGAGCCACGCACUGUGGGGAGCACUUUACACGUAUCAUCUUUCAGCAAAUUUUGAGGGAUAUGGCUUUAUUUUACAAAAGAAGAAACUGAGGCACAGUGAGUUAGACAUCUCAUUGGAGGGCAUUCAGCCCUUCCUAAGUGUCAGAGUUGGGACCUAGCCCCACAUCUGUCUGACUCCAAGUCUUGGCCACGCUGCCUUAAUCCGAUGGCCAGUGUCCCUUACCACCACCAGCCCCACAACACUCUUCAUCACGGUUGAUGUGGGGCCAGAGGAAGACCAGGAGUGUGAACUUCCUUGCACUUCCACGGUAGUGCUUUCCACUAGCCUUUUUAAAUACUCAUCCUCUGCGGCCCGGUCCUCGCGAGGGCACCCCUGUAUCACACUGAUUCCUUUUGUGAUUUCAGGAGCCCACUCCUAUCUGUGCACAGUCCAAGGAGAAACCAGGGUUUAGCCCCAAACUGGCUCUGCUGCAAGUCACAUUAUGACGACAUCCCAGGGGGGUGUUCCUGCUAACAGAGACAGUCGGACCCCGAGGCACACCCCUUCUCCAGCUUUCUAUUAUCACAGGAACAUCUCUGCACCCUUGCCUCCUUCUCCUGAAGGAAGCUAAGGCCCUGUGUGGUUGCCCGACCUGCCCACGGAGGCCAGGGAAACAACAGAGCGAGAGCCAGACUCCAGGUUUCUGAAUUCCCAGCCAUUCUCUCGCACAGCAUUGUUGCUCUGGGAAGAGAGCUGGGAAUCCUGCGUCUGGCUGCCUGGGGGGCACAGCUAAAGGUUUUCUGGGAACAGGGGAGGAUCCUGCCCCAGGUGAGAACCAAUGAAACGGAGGGUUGCCUACUGCUCUCUCCUCUUUGCAAGAAUUCACUUCUCCAAGGAAUUAGGAGAGAGCAGAAUCGAACCGGAGACAGCCACCGGUAGGAGAAGAUUUCUGGCAUCUGAACCUCAUUUCAUAAGAGCCACCUUUGAGAGAGAGAGUUCCGUCAACCAACUAACCAGCCAAUUAGAAUCCAUCACUGAAGCUUGCACGUUGAACCACGGAUUGAUGACCAUGCUUCCUUCGUUCCCCCUCAGGUCCCAAAGUGGGACCUACAGAAUCGUUUUCAAGUGGAAUAUGAGUGGUGGUUUCCCACAGUUCGGCAGAGGAGUUGAGCUCAGAAACUCAGUUCUUCUCCGACUUUGUAAGCUCAGUGUUUUGGAAUCACUCACUGCCAUCUGCCUUCACAGCCUCCAGGAAACAAGGAACAGAAAAGGAGAGAACAAUGGAAUCCAUGGACCGGUGGGUUGCCCCCUCAGCUCUGCCUCUUAAGAGUCUCAGAACAGUUACUAAACCUC